CACACAACCACGGACACCUUGAGGGCAUGGCAUCUGUCCCCACACAACCAUGGUCACCUCCAUGGUGUGGCACAUGUCCCCAUGCAACCACGGACACCUGUAGGGCAUGGUGUGUGUCCCCACACAACCACAGUCACCUCCAUGGCAUGGCACCUGUCCCUGUACAACCACAGACACGUCCAUGGUGUGGCACAUGUCCCCAUAUGACCAUGCCCACCCAAUGUCACCGCACAUGUCCCGCCACCACCAUGCCCACCCGCUGUCACGGCACUUGUCCCCAUACCACCAUGUCCACCUGAUAUCACUGCACAUGUCCCCUAUCACCAUGUCACCAUGUCCACAUGAUGUCACACCACGUGUCCCCGUACCACCAUGCCCACCUGAUGUCACCGCAAGUGUCCCUCCACCGCCAUGCCCACCCAAUGUCACAGCACUUGUCCCCAUACCACCAUGUCCACCUGAUGUCACAGCAGGUGUCCCCCUACCACCACGUCCACCUGAUGUCACAGCACAUGCCCCCGUACCACCAUGUCCACCUGAUGUCACUGCAGGUGUCCCUCCACCGCCAUGCCCACCCAAUGUCACGGCACUUGUCCCCAUACCACCAUGUCCACCUGAUGUCACAGCAGGUGUCCCCGUACCACCACGUCCAUGCAAUGUCACAGCAGGUGUCCCUGUACCACCAGGUCCACCUGAUGUCACAGCAGGUGUCCCCCUACCACCACGUCCACCCAAUGUCAUGUCAGGUGGCCCCGUACCACCAUGUCCACACAAUGUCAGAGCAGGUGUCCCCAUACCACCACGUCCACACAAUGUCACAGCAGGUGGCCCUGUACCACCACAUCCACACAACGUCACAGCAGGUGGCCCUGUACCACCACGUCCAUUCAAUGUCACAGCAGAUGACCCUGUACCACCACGUCCAUUCAAUGUCACAGCAGAUGACCCUGUACCACCACGUCCACCCAAUGUCAUGUCAGGUGGCCCCGUACCACCACCACAUCCACGCAAUGUCACAGCAGAUGUCCCCAUACCACCAUGUCCAGCCAAUGUCACCGCACGUGUCCCUGUACCACCAUGUCCAUCCAAUGUCAUGUCAGGCGACCCUGUACCACCACGUCCACCCGAUGUCACAGCAGGUGGCCCCUGUACAAGGCCCCCAGGCCCUGUCCCACCAAAACCCAGUGGGUCCCAGGGGACGCUGUGG
rnacentral:lncRNA from 1 species